CUUUGGCCGUGCCGCCCCGCUGCCUGGCUGCUGAGAGUUGCUCCUGCCGCUGGGGGGGAAACCGAGCUCUGUGGCUCCAGGGGUGUUGUCCACCCGCCUGUAAUCAGGGUCUGGGUGCGUGAGCGUUUGUGCUCUGCUGGCAGCCUGUGUGGGGUGACCGCCCCGCUAGCGGGGUGUGGGUCGAGGUGCCCCGGACUGGGAGAGAAGGAGCCUCCCUCGGCCGUAGGGAUGGGGGCUGCCCUGUAAGUCAGGGAGCAUCUGUGUCCCGGAGUCCCAGGCCCUUUUCGAUGGCGGCAGUGGCCGGGGGUCCCCUGUAAGCAGGGAAGCUGACUCUUUGGCUGCUGCUUUUUGUGUGCCCAGCCCCAUUUGCCCAGUCUGCCCGCCUCUGUGAUCCCCCGCAGCACUGGCUGGAAGUCCGCUGCGUGUCAGUGAGGAGCUGCUGCAGAAGGAAGAAGAAGAAGCAGCGGCGUGGGGACCUGGGAGGCAGGAGCAAGCAAGAAGAGGAAGCGGAAGCGUGCAGAUGUGGGGGGGAAGGAGAGAGGCUCCCUGGGCAAAGCACCUGUCCCGUUAGCAGGGGCACAGUCACGUUUGAGUUGAGAGCUGCCGGCGCCUUUGGUGA
rnacentral:lncRNA from 1 species